CCUGACUGCUAUCGGAUUGAUACUAAGCCAUGCGAGUCUUUGUAGUAAUACAAGGCAGACGGCUCAGUAACACGUAGUCAACCUACCCUAUGGACAAGAAUAAUCUCGGGAAACUGGGCAUAAUUCUUGAUAGAUCAUAAUGCCUGGAAUGGUUUAUAGUUAAAAUGAUUCGUCGCCAUAGGAUGGGACUGCGGCCUAUCAGCUUGUUGGUGAGGUAAUGGCCCACCAAGGCGAUUACAGGUACGGGCUCUGAGAGGAGAAGCCCGGAGAUGGGUACUGAGACACGGACCCAGGCCCUAUGGGGCGCAGCAGGCGAGAAAACUUUGCAAUGUGCGAAAGCACGACAAGGUUAAUCCGAGUGAUUUCUGCUAAAGAAAUCUUUUGCCAGUCAUAAAACCACUGGUGAAUAAGGGGUGGGCAAGUUCUGGUGUCAGCCGCCGCGGUAAAACCAGCACCUCAAGUGGUCAGGAUGAUUAUUGGGCCUAAAGCAUCCGUAGCCGGCUUUGUUAGUUUUCGGUUAAAUCCAUGUGCUCAACGCAUGGGCUGCCGAAAAUACUGCAUAGCUAGGGAGUGGGAGAGGUAGACGGUACUCAGUAGGAAGGGGUAAAAUCCUUUGAUCUAUUGAUGACCACCUGUGGCGAAGGCGGUCUACCAGAACACGUUCGACGGUGAGGGAUGAAAGCUGGGGGAGCAAACCGGAUUAGAUACCCGGGUAGUCCCAGCUGUAAACGAUGCAGACUCGAUGAUGCAUUGGCAUAAUAGCCAGUGCAGUGUCGCAGGGAAGCCGUUAAGUCUGCCGCCUGGGAAGUACGUACGCAAGUAUGAAACUUAAAGGAAUUGGCGGGGGAGCACCACCAAGGGGUGAAGCCUGCGGUUC
rnacentral:rRNA from 1 species